rnacentral:lncRNA from 1 species
CACAUCUUUAGGACAGACUGAAGCUGUGGUUUCCCUGUAGCUGAUGGGGUGACUACAUUAUUAAGAAGACUCUGAUGGAAGUGGCCCAUUCAGUUGUUUCUGGAAAACAGUGCAAAGGAUCCUAUGGAGACUCCUAGGUGCCCCUGGGAUCAUGGAACCAUGAAGAGGAAGCCCCUUCAUUGGCCAUAUGGGAGAUCACUCUUGGGAUACACAACUGGGUUGUGACAUGAGCAAAGACCGAAUCUGUUAUUGAGCUAAGCAUUGCGAUAUGAAGUUGUUGAUUUAUCACAGCAAUUAGUCUACCCUGACUACCUUCAGGAGCCGAGGCCACCUGCUGUUCUCGCAAAACAAGCCAUCUGGAGGUCAGCGUUCCAGGACUGGAGCAGCAGCUGUAUGAUGUCACCAGGAACCACCCCCCCGCCCCAGCUCCCUCUGUCAUCCUGCCCCCUUGUCCUUGGCACGUGGUUUUCAUCCACAUUCUGCUGGCCCACUUUUGCAUGAUAAUUGCUUCAUACCCAUCUCCAUAUCUG